rnacentral:lncRNA from 1 species
AUUCUCCUGAGUGGAACCAUCAGACUUUUCUUGAGGGAUUGGCCCUCUAGUGAAGAGCAUGGAGUGGACUGGGCCAGGGAAAGAUCCUCAGAUAAUCCUUACACAGGAUAUCCACAGUAGAUCAACUGAUGCUUCAGUAACAGUGCCCAAAGGAACCAAGUGAAAUUACCAAAUUAGAAGUGAUAAGAGGUUGACUCUCUCCAGAAAUUUAUUGUAAUUAGAAAGAGGUAAUGGUGUCUAAAUAAGAUGAAAGAAGAUAUUUUAAAGAUGAUAAUAACAAAAACGACAUCCUAGGUUUGAGGAAACUGUGAGGACAUCUAAGUGGCAAUUUCCAAAAGGCAGCUGAAUUAAUGUGUCUGGAGAUAAGAAAAAGACUAGAAUGAGGUGAAGCCAGAAAGGAAGAGUCAUAAUCAAAGAAGAGAGUGAUCAAGAAUCCAAAAGAGACAGAGAGAGCAGGCUCUUAGAGAAAUGGGAGAACUACCGCACUGACUCUGCACGUAGGAGACAGGCAGGAGAGGAGCGCCCCAGCCAGAGCUCAACAUGCGCAAACAGGAAGUGUGUCCGAGGUUUUCUGGAGCUCACAGGAGCCGGGGACCCACAGGGAAAGAAAAGCAGACAAGACAAACUAAAUCAGCAACCAUCCCUUUGGAUGCCAGCUGACCUCGGAUGGAGAUUUAGUGCUAGAUGUAAAAGGCUUUGUUUACAGACAAUUAAAAACCACAUAAAUUUAAAUUGU